ensembl:rRNA 5S_rRNA 5S ribosomal RNA
AUUAGUUGGCCAUACCGCCUUUGCUAUGCCCAAUCCCGUCAGAACUUGGAAGCUAAGCAGGGUAGGGCCUGGUUGGUACUUGGAUGGGAGACCGUUUGGUAACACCAGGAAGCCUAGCAAAUG